CCUAAAUGGAGAGUUUGAUCCUGGCUCAGGACGAACGCUGGCGGCGUGCCUAAUACAUGCAAGUCGAGCGGA
rnacentral:rRNA from 1 species